GACGGAGGAUGCAAGUGUUAUCCGGAAUCACUGGGCGUAAAGCGUCUGUAGGUGGUUUAAAAAGUCUACUGUUAAAGCUUGAAGCUUAACUUCAAAAAUGCCGUAGAAACUUUUAAACUUGAGUAUGGUAGGGGUAGAGGGAAUUUCCAGUGGAGCGGUGAAAUGCGUAGAUCUUGGAAAGACCACCAAUGGCGAAGGCACUCUACUGGGCCAUGACUGACACUAAGAGACGAAAGCUAGGGGAGCAAAUGGG
rnacentral:rRNA from 1 species